CACAACACAAGCACAACAUAGAUGCUCUGCUCCCGAUUUCUCAAUAGUAUGAUGAUGCUUUGCUCAACCACUCUAACUUUUUUCACUGGGCGUCACUUUGCAUAUGCUUGCUCAUGUAGCGACCUGAUUGACAGUUGUUUGUGUUGCUUUGUUCAACUACUGUCCAGAUACAACAAGUUAGUCUUGAUUUGUACAAGAGCUAAGUAGAAUUGUCUCAACUCUUUUUUUGUGGUUGCUUGCCACACAUCAGUUUACUGCAAUAGCUUAAUACAAUAGUGUGGCAGUUUACUACUAUGUGGGAUUAAAUGGGGUUAUUUGGGCAAGCAGACGCAACAAGGUUGAUUGUAGGCUGCCCACAAACACCCGCAUAACACAUGCUUGCUGGUGUGGGUAUUCCUCCAUUAGUCCCACUUGCAGCCUGAAUGUGUAUCUCUAAGGAAGUGAAUGGUCAUGAUAGUCUUCCCGAACUAUGGCCAUGUGUAUCCGAAAUAUUGUUCAUGCAAAUUAUGUUAUCAUUGUCGUUGAAUAAUAAUAUUGAUCAUCUUAUAGGUUGCAUCCAAAGUAGCUUUAAAGACUUUAACAUAUCCAAACCAGCGAAAUGCUGCAUAUGCUACUAUUCGGAGUAUUUUUCUAGAAACUAAGGUUGGUGAUAUUUAAUUAGGUGCCGAUUCUGCACUUGUGUACUUAGAUGAACCUGUUUUGGAUAAUGAGGAGUUAGUAAGAUUCGAAAGAAGCAUAAUUGAGGUGGAGCUGAAUUCUUCGGUUGGAUGAAACAAAUAUAAUUGGAGGAUUUUACCUAGCAAUACCCAUACUUUACAUUGAUAGAUUGAAAAAUGUAAUACCAUUUAGAACAUUUUUUUCUUUGGUCGAGUUGAUGCAAAUGCUAUGGUGUAAUAUUGUCCAUAGACGUGUCCUCUAUUGUAAAAUUGAUAUGAAUGAUAUGUUGUUCAACCAAUAACAUUGGUAUUUAUUUAUUGUAAUGCAUAUGUAUCCUACACUCAUGUAUAUUCAUAAUAAAUACCUUGAUAUUUUCAA